rnacentral:rRNA from 5 species
CUACGCUGCGAUAAGCCGUGGGGAGCUGCGAAGAAGCUUUGAUCCACGGAUUUCCGAAUGGGGAAACCCACCUUCGAUAGCUGGAACUCCAAGAUCUCGUAUCUUGGGGUUUGAACAGCAAUGUUUGAGACCAAGCCGUGAGGUUUUGGAUUUCCAGUUAUCAAGUGAAGGUAUGAAAUCUCCGAAUAAAAUAGGAGGUUUUAAGCGAACCCAGGGAACUGAAACAUCUAAGUACCUGGAGGAAAGGACAUCAACAGAGACUCCGUUAGUAGUGGCGAGCGAACGCGGACCAGGCCAGUGAUACAUCAAAGACAACCGGAACCUGUCAGGAAAGCAGGGCCUUAGAGGGUGAUAGCCCCGUACGGGUAAUGCGAUGAUGUAUCCAUGAGUAAGGCGGGACACGUGUAAUCCUGUCUGAACGCGGGGGGACCACCCUCCAAGCCUAAGUACUCCUCAGCGACCGAUAGU